CCUACGGGUGGCAGCAGUGAGGAAUAUUGGUCAAUGGACGAGAGUCUGAACCAGCUAAGUAGCGUGAAGGAUGACUGCCCUAUGGGUUGUAAACUUCUUUUAUAUGGGAAUAAAAUGUUCCACGUGUGGGAUUUUGUAUGUACCAUAUGAAUAAGGAUCGGCUAACUCCGUGCCAGCAGCCGCGGUAAUACGGAGGAUCCGAGCGUUAUCCGGAUUUAUUGGGUUUAAAGGGAGCGUAGGUGGAUUGUUAAGUCAGUUGUGAAAGUUUGCGGCUCAACCGUAAAAUUGCAGUUGAAACUGGCAGUCUUGAGUACAGUAGAGGUGGGCGGAAGUCGUGGUGUAGCGGUGAAAUGCUUAGAUAUCACGAAGAACUCCGAUUGCGAAGGCAGUUCACUGGACUGCAACUGACACUGAGGCUCGAAAGUGUGGGUAUCAAACAGGAUUAGAUACCCUUGUAGUC
rnacentral:rRNA from 1 species